UACAGAGGGUGCGAGCGUUAAUCGGAAUUACUGGGCGUAAAGCGUGCGCAGACGGUCAUGUAAGUCGGGUGUGAAAUCCCCGGGCUCAACCUGGGAAUUGCAUUUGUGACUGCCCGACUAGAGUGUGUCAGAGGGGGGGUAGAAUUCCACGUGUAGCAGUGAAAUGCGUAGAGAUGUGGAGGAAUACCGAUGGCGAAGGCAGCCCCCUGGGAUAACACUGACGCUCAUGCACGAAAGCGUGGGGAGCAAACAGG
rnacentral:rRNA from 1 species